UACGUAGGGGGCAAGCGUUGUCCGGAAUCAUUGGGCGUAAAGAGCGUGUAGGCGGCCCGGUAAGUCCGCUGUGAAAGUCCAGGGCUCAACCCUGGGAUGCCGGUGGAUACUGUCGGGCUCGAGUCCGGAAGAGGAGUGUGGAAUUCCUGGUGUAGCGGUGAAAUGCGCAGAUAUCAGGAGGAACACCAAUGGCGAAGGCAGCACUCUGGGACGUGACUGACGCUGAGGAACGAAAGCCAGGGGAGCAAACGGG
rnacentral:rRNA from 1 species